rfam:Solanum lycopersicum cultivar Heinz 1706 chromosome 1, whole genome shotgun sequence.
UGAUGCAAUCAUUCCAGCACUAACACACCAAAUCCCAUCAGAAUUUCGAAGUUAAGCGUGUUUGGGCGGGAGUAGUACUAGGAUGGGUGACCCCUUAGGAAGUCCUCGUGUUGCAUCCC